rnacentral:rRNA from 1 species
UGACGAGCUUGCUCUGAUUUGAUUUUAUCUGACAAAGAGUGGCGAACGGGUGAGUAACACGUGGGUAACCUACCUCUUAGCAGGGGAUAACAUUUGGAAACAAGUGCUAAUACCGUAUAAUACCAACAACCGCAUGGUUGUUGGUUGAAAGAUGGUUCUGCUAUCACUAAGAGAUGGACCCGCGGUGCAUUAGCUAGUUGGUAAGGUAACGGCUUACCAAGGCAAUGAUGCAUAGCCGAGUUGAGAGACUGAUCGGCCACAAUGGGACUGAGACACGGCCCAUACUCCUACGGGAGGCAGCAGUAGGGAAUCUUCCACAAUGGGCGCAAGCCUGAUGGAGCAACGCCGCGUGUGUGAUGAAGGGUUUCGGCUCGUAAAACACUGUUAUAAGAGAAGAACGGCACUGAGAGUAACUGUUCAGUGUGUGACGGUAUCUUACCAGAAAGGAACGGCUAAAUACGUGCCAGCAGCCGCGGUAAUACGUAUGUUCCAAGCGUUAUCCGGAUUUAUUGGGCGUAAAGCGAGCGCAGACGGUUAUUUAAGUCUGAAGUGAAAGCCCUCAGCUCAACUGAGGAAUGGCUUUGGAAACUGGAUGACUUGAGUGCAGUAGAGGAAAGUGGAACUCCAUGUGUAGCGGUGAAAUGCGUAGAUAUAUGGAAGAACACCAGUGGCGAAGGCGGCUUUCUGGACUGUAACUGACGUUGAGGCUCGAAAGUGUGGGUAGCAAACAGGAUUAGAUACCCUGGUAGUCCACACCGUAAACGAUGAGUGCUAGAUGUUCGGGGGGUUUCCGCCCCUUCCUUUUCCCCCCCUAACCCAUUAAACCCUCCGCCCGCGGGAGGACGAACCC